rnacentral:rRNA from 1 species
CAAGGCUUGACAUAUACGAGAACGGGCCAGAAAUGGUCAACUCUUUGGACACUCGUAAACAGGUGGUGCAUGGUUGUCGUCAGCUCGUGUCGUGAGAUGUUGGGUUAAGUCCCGCAACGAGCGCAACCCUCGUUCUAUGUUGCCAGCACGUAAUGGUGGGAACUCAUGGGAUACUGCCGGGGUCAACUCGGAGGAAGGUGGGGAUGACGUCAAAUCAUCAUGCCCCUUAUGUCUUGGGCUUCACGCAUGCUACAAUGGCCGGUACAAAGGGCUGCAAUACCGCGAGGUGGAGCGAAUCCCAAAAAGCCGGUCCCAGUUCGGAUUGAGGUCUGCAACUCGACCUCAUGAAGUCGGAGUCGCUAGUAAUCGCAGAUCAGCAACGCUGCGGUGGAUACGUUCCC